GUGGGAUCUUGUCUACAGUUUGUUGCCUGUGUGCACACCAGUAGCGUCACGGUUCGUUUGUGCUUUAUUGUUUUGUUCAGUGAGUUUCGGUUAAUAAAAAUAUGUGGAACUCUAUGCACGCUGCUGCGCCUUGGUCCAAUCAUUAUAACGAUCGUGACAGACACCCUCCUCAAGGACAAUCAGCCAGAGGGGAAGAGCCUCACACUGCAGGAGAGAAACAGCAGCACCAUCGCUGACCAGACCAGAUGAGCCAGACAGACACAUAACACAGGUGAGAAGAACAGACAGUGCAGGUGCAGCAUGUCCACUCAGGGCUAUGUUGGAUGGAUUCUAGGAGGUUGGCCGAGGGGAAAGAAGGACAUCUGGAAGUGUCAUCCAGGGAUCCUGUAAAUAAUGUACCCCUGCGUCAACAGCCAGGCUGGAGAGUUCCACUGGGAAUAGGUUCCCUCACAUCAGUGGUUUCCAAACCCUUUUGUGUCGUGACAUCUUCCUGUCACUGCCAACAGCUCUAUCCAAAACCCGGCAUAAAUAACUGACCCACUA